rnacentral:lncRNA from 1 species
AAGGAGGUCUGUUACUGGGUUCUGUAUUAUUCUGGGUGGUUCUUUGAUUAGUUGGAAAUCUAAGAAACAACCAGUGGUCUCUCUGUCUUCUGGUGAGGCUGAAUACAGGGCCCUAAGUAAGGUUGUUGCUGAACUGUCUAGGUUGUCUCGUUUGUUUCUUGAUCUUGGUGUUUCUAUCUCUCUUCCCUUUUCUGUGUAUUGUGACAGCCAGGUAGCCAUUCACAUUGCCAAGAAUCCUGUUUUUCAUGAACGGACUAAACACAUUGAAGUGGAUUGUCAUUUUGUGCGCGAUUUGCUCCAGAAUGGCCUUAUUCAACUGUUUCAUGUCCCUACUACUCGCCAGCUCGCUGACCUUCUGACCAAGCCUUUGUCUGGCACUAUACUUCAUCCAUUGUUGCUCAAGAUGCAGGUGGUGUUCAGCUCGCUGACAUUCUGACCUAGCCUUUACCUGGCACUAUACUUCAUCCCUUGUUACUCAAGUUGCAGGUGAUAUCCCCCUUCAACUUGAGGGGGGGUGUUGAGAUACGAGAAAAUACAUGAUAUAGCCUUGUAUAGCCUUGUAUAUUCUUUGUAUACUUAUUGUAUAUUUUCGGUAUACUCUUGUAAUUGGGCUAUGAAGAUUUGUGUAUCUGAGCCCACAGGUUAUUUAACUUUGGGCCGGAUCACCCGACCCGACCCGAUAUCUGUAAGUUGUAUAUAGGGUAGGUGUAGAUAUUUACACGCGCGGAUUUCAUUUUCUUUCUCGGUUCUGAUUAAU